UGGUACAGAGCCACGAAUCUC
rnacentral:siRNA from 1 species